AAGGCUCAGGAAUCGAAGUUCAAAGAUCAACCAAUGAAGUUGAAAAUUGAACUUGAAAAAUUGAGAGAAAAAUCAAAAUUCCUUUAAGUGAGGGUUAGGGAUUCAAUUGUGCAGAACUUCAGACGCAUUUAGGUUGAAGUUUGAAGUGAAUGAAGCCUUCUAUUUAUAGGCAAGGCUGAUACAAGGCAUGAAGAAACUCGUGUGCAUGUGAAGUUGGAUCCUCC
rnacentral:lncRNA from 1 species